GAUGAACGCUGGCGGCGUGCCUAAUACAUGCAAGUCGAGCGAACGGACGAGAAGCUUGCUUUUCUGAUGUUAGCGGCGGACGGGUGAGUAACACGUGGAUAACCUACCUAUAAGACUGGGAUAACUUCGGGAAACCGGAGCUAAUACCGGAUAAUAUUUUGAACCGCAUGGUUCAAAAGAGAAAGACGGUCUUGCUGUCACUUAUAGAUGGAUCCGCGCUGCAUUAGCUGGUUGGUAAGGUAACGGCUUACCAAGGCAACGAUGCAUAGCCGACCUGAGAGGGUGAUCGGCCACACUGGAACUGAGACACGGUCAAGACUCCUACGGGAGGCAGCAGUAGGGAAUCUUCCGCAAUGGGCGAAAGCCUGACGGAGCAACGCCGCGUGAGUGAUGAAGGUCUUCGGAUCGUAAAACUCUGUUAUUAGGGAAGAACAUAUGUGUAAGUAACUGUGCACAUCUUGACGGUACCUAAUCAGAAAGCCACGGCUAACUACGUG
rnacentral:rRNA from 1 species